AUUGAACGCUGGCGGCAGGCCUAACACAUGCAAGUCGAGCGAGCGGCGGACGGGUGAGUAAUGUCUGGGAAACUGCCUGAUGGAGGGGGAUAACUACUGGAAACGGUAGCUAAUACCGCAUACAAUACAGUGUGCCCAGAUGGGAUUAGCUAGAAGGUGGGGUAACGGCGCACCUAGGCGACGAUCCCUAGCUGGUCUGAGAGGAUGACCAGCCACACUGGAACUGAGACACGGUCCAGACUCCUACGGGAGGCAGCAGUGGGGAAUAUUGCACAAUGGGCGCAAGCCUGAUGCAGCCAUGCCGCGUGUGUGAAGAAGGCCUUCGGGUUGUAAAGUACUUUCAGCGGGGAGGCGUUACCCGCAGAAGAAGCACCGGCUAACUCCGUGCCAGCAGCCGCGGUAAUAC
rnacentral:rRNA from 1 species